rnacentral:rRNA from 1 species
UACGGGGGGGGGCAAGCGUUGUUCGGAAUUACUGGGCGUAAAGGGCUCGUAGGUGGCCAACUAAGUCAUACGUGAAAUCCCUCGGCUUAACCGGGGAACUGCGUCUGAUACUGGAUGGCUUGAGGUUGGGAGAGGGAUGCGGAAUUCCAGGUGUAGCGGUGAAAUGCGUAGAUAUCUGGAGGAACACCGGUGGCGAAGGCGGCAUCCUGGACCGACACUGACGCUGAGGAGCGAAAGCCAGGGGAGCAAACGGG